rnacentral:rRNA from 1 species
GCAGGCCUAACACAUGCAAGUCGAACGGUAACAGGAAGCAGCUUGCUGCUUUGCUGACGAGUGGCGGACGGGUGAGUAAUGUCUGGGAAACUGCCUGAUGGAGGGGGAUAACUACUGGAAACGGUAGCUAAUACCGCAUAACGUCGCAAGACCAAAGAGGGGGACCUUCGGGCCUCUUGCCAUCGGAUGUGCCCAGAUGGGAUUAGCUAGUAGGUGGGGUAACGGCUCACCUAGGCGACGAUCCCUAGCUGGUCUGAGAGGAUGACCAGCCACACUGGAACUGAGACACGGUCCAGACUCCUACGGGAGGCAGCAGUGGGGAAUAUUGCACAAUGGGCGCAAGCCUGAUGCAGCCAUGCCGCGUGUAUGAAGAAGGCCUUCGGGUUGUAAAGUACUUUCAGCGGGGAGGAAGGGAGUAAAGUUAAUACCUUUGCUCAUUGACGUUACCCGCAGAAGAAGCACCGGCUAACUCCGUGCCAGCAGCCGCGGUAAUACGGAGGGUGCAAGCGUUAAUCGGAAUUACUGGGCGUAAAGCGCACGCAGGCGGUUUGUUAAGUCAGAUGUGAAAUCCCCGGGCUCAACCUGGGAACUGCAUCUGAUACUGGCAAGCUUGAGUCUCGUAGAGGGGGGUAGAAUUCCAGGUGUAGCGGUGAAAUGCGUAGAGAUCUGGAGGAAUACCGGUGGCGAAGGCGGCCCCCUGGACGAAGACUGACGCUCAGGUGCGAAAGCGUGGGGAGCAAACAGGAUUAGAUACCCUGGUAGUCCACGCCGUAAACGAUGUCGACUUGGAGGUUGUGCCCUUGAGGCGUGGCUUCCGGAGCUAACGCGUUAAGUCGACCGCCUGGGGAGUACGGCCGCAAGGUUAAAACUCAAAUGAAUUGACGGGGGCCCGCACAAGCGGUGGAGCAUGUGGUUUAAUUCGAUGCAACGCGAAGAACCUUACCUGGUCUUGACAUCCACGGAAGUUUUCAGAGAUGAGAAUGUGCCUUCGGGAACCGUGAAACAGGUGCUGCAUGGCUGUCGUCAGCUCCUGUUGUGAAAUGUUGGGUUAAGUCCCGCAACGAGCGCAACCCUUAUCCUUUGUUGCCAGCGGUCCGGCCGGGAACUCAAAGGAGACUGCCAGUGAUAAACUGGAGGAAGGUGGGGA